GUAGGGGGCGAGCGUUGUCCGGAUUUAUUGGGGCGUAAAGAGCUCGUAGGCGGUUGCGUAAGUCGGAUGUGAAAACUCAGGGGCUCAACCCUGAGAUGCCAUUCGAUACUGCGCUGACUAGAGUCCCGGUAGAGGAGCAUGGAAUUCCUGGUGUAGCGGUGAAAUGCGCAGAUAUCAGGAGGAACACCAGUAGCGAAGGCGGUGCUCUGGGCCGGUACUGACGCUGAGGAGCGAAAGCAUGGGUAGCAAACAGGAUUAGAUACCCUGGUAGUCCAUGCCGUAAACGUUGGGCACUAGGUGUGGGACCUACUUAACGGGUUCCGUGCCGUAGCUAACGCAUUAAGUGCCCCGCCUGGGGAGUACGGCCGCAAGGCUA
rnacentral:rRNA from 1 species